rnacentral:rRNA from 1 species
AUUGAACGCUGGCGGCAUGCUUUACACAUGCAAGUCGAACGGCAGCGCGGGCUUCGGCCUGGCGGCGAGUGGCGAACGGGUGAGUAAUGCAUCGGAACGUGCCCAGUAGUGGGGGAUAGCCCGGCGAAAGCCGGAUUAAUACCGCAUACGACCUGAGGGUGAAAGCGGGGGACCGAAAGGCCUCGCGCUAUUGGAGCGGCCGAUGUCGGAUUAGCUAGUUGGUGGGGUAAAGGCUUACCAAGGCGACGAUUCGUAGCUGGUCUGAGAGGACGACCAGCCACACUGGGACUGAGACACGGCCCAGACUCCUACGGGAGGCAGCAGUGGGGAAUUUUGGACAAUGGGGGCAACCCUGAUCCAGCCAUGCCGCGUGCGGGAAGAAGGCCUUCGGGUUGUAAACCGCUUUUGUUCGGGAAGAAAUCCUCUGGGCUAAUACCCCGGGGGGAUGACGGUACCGGAAGAAUAAGCACCGGCUAACUACGUG